rnacentral:rRNA from 1 species
UACGUAGGGGGCGAGCGUUGUCCGGAAUUAUUGGGCGUAAAGGGUUCGUAGGCGGUAAUACAUGUCAGAUGUGAAAUCUUGUGGCUUAACCACAUCAAGCAUCUGAAACUGUAUAACUUGAGUGGAGGAGAGGUAAGUGGAAUUCCUAGUGUAGCGGUGAAAUGCGUAGAUAUUAGGAAGAAUACCAGUAGCGAAGGCGACUUACUGGCCUCUAACUGACGCUGAUGAACGAAAGCGUGGGGAGCAAACAGG